GAGUAACACGUGGAUAACCUACCUAUAAGACUGGGAUAACUUCGGGAAACCGGAGCUAAUACCGGAUAAUAUUUUGAACCGCAUGGUUCAAAAGUGAAAGACGGUCUUGCUGUCACUUAUAGAUGGAUCCGCGCUGCAUUAGCUAGUUGGUAAGGUAACGGCUUACCAAGGCAACGAUGCAUAGCCGACCUGAGAGGGUGAUCGGCCACACUGGAACUGAGACACGGUCCAGACUCCUACGGGAGGCAGCAGUAGGGAAUCUUCCGCAAUGGGCGAAAGCCUGACGGAGCAACGCCGCGUGAGUGAUGAAGGUCUUCGGAUCGUAAAACUCUGUUAUUAGGGAAGAACAUAUGUGUAAGUAACUGUGCACAUCUUGACGGUACCUAAUCAGAAAGCCACGGCUAACUACGUGCCAGCAGCCGCGGUAAUACGUAGGUGGCAAGCGUUAUCCGGAAUUAUUGGGCGUAAAGCGCGCGUAGGCGGUUUUUUAAGUCUGAUGUGAAAGCCCACGGCUCAACCGUGGAGGGUCAUUGGAAACUGGAAAACUUGAGUGCAGAAGAGGAAAGUGGAAUUCCAUGUGUAGCGGUGAAAUGCGCAGAGAUAUGGAGGAACACCAGUGGCGAAGGCGACUUUCUGGUCUGUAACUGACGCUGAUGUGCGAA
rnacentral:rRNA from 1 species